rnacentral:lncRNA from 1 species
GGGAAUUCAAAGGAUUUUUAUUCUUGAAUAAGUUAAUUUGCCCUAAAUAGGUUUAUAUAUCUUGUCUGUGUGGUCAAAAGGGUGAAAAGCUGAACUAUGUAAUAAUAUGUGGUAUGAGAUAAGCAGAAGAAACUGCCCUAGAAAUUCUGGUAUCACCUUGAAUGAUUAGAUCAGAAUAUUUCAAGAUUGCUGUACUUUGAAAUUACUGGAAUGUUUUGAGAAUACUGAGUCCAUGAAAUUGAGAAAAUUGUAAAAGUAAUACAAAGUAGAGAGAGAGAGAGAGAGAGAGACCAUAGGAAGAAGCCACUCCAAAUAGGAAUAGUGAGAUUAGAUGGCAAAAUUAUAAAAGUAGAGCAAUAAUAUCUUUGUUUGUUUUGUUGCAUGUUUGGGGGAAUAAUAUUUAAAUGUUAAAUAUUUGCAAAACAUAAAAUAAAAUGUCAUUUAGUAAUAUGAAUGUGUGCCCCUACCUAUCCAAACCCAUACAGCAUAUCCUUCAUUCCUUUAGUCCUCCAUCCCUUCAGAUUAGUUAGGCUUUGCUGUAGAACUUUUUAACUUCAGGAAAGGGAUGUGACAAUACAAGGCAGAGUGCUCUUUCUGCCUGUUUCUGGCUCUCAGUAAAUAGAAAGGACUCAUAGCAUGGAUAAAGUAUUUUGGAAAAGACAUCAUGAGUCAGAGCAAAUAUUCCUCAUCCUUUAUAUUCCACCCCAUCCUGGGCCUCAGACUAACAACAAACAAAAUUUUCAGGUUGGAAGAAGAAAUGAACAUCAGAGAUAAGCCAUAAGAGAAAGUUUGGUGGUUGAAAAACAUAACUGUAAAAUCCUUUGACACUCCUUCCAUUGAAAAGAAUGGGUCUGCAUCCCCUCGACCUAGAUCUAACACCAGCUCUUAGUGCCAGGAACUGCCAGGUAAGAAUUCUGACUACACUGAGGCCACCAUGCUCUGAGGAAGUCAAGCCAGAUGGAAAGACCACAGCAGGAGAACUGGUCAGCAGUCAUACUCUUGAACUCAUCCCAACCCAGACUCCAAACAUGUGAAUGGACACGUUUUCAGAUGAUUCCAGCACAAAGCCAUUGAGUCACCUCCAGCCACUGAGUGUCCCCAGCCAAGACACCAGUCACCAUCAAGCAGAGCUAGCCUGCCUGCUAUGCCUGUCCAAAUUCUUGACCCACUAAAUUCUAUGAAAUUAAUAAAUUGUUGUUGAAGUUACUAAAUUUUAAACUUAAUUUGUUAUGCAGUAAUAGGAAUCGUUCCUGUCUGUGAGCAAGUCCUCAUGGACAAUAAACUCAGAUCUGUGUGUGGAAUCUGGGAGAAAAAGAGACUGGUAUCCUUCUCCAUAGUAAAGCCCCAGAAAGAAAAAAGUCUCUAGAAGAAAACACUGUACAGGCAUAGCUCAUUUUAUUGGCCUUUGUUUAUUGCAUCUCACAAAUGUUACUGUUUUCACAAACUG